GGCGGCGUGGCCGAGUGGUUCAGGCAAGGGACUGCAAAUCCCUGUACCCCGGUUCGAUCCCGGGCGCCGCCUCCA
rnacentral:tRNA from 1 species